rnacentral:rRNA from 1 species
ACGUAGGUGGCGAGCGUUGUCCGGAAUUACUGGGCGUAAAGGAUGCGUAGGUGGAUAAUUAAGUCAGAUGUGAAAAUCCCGGGCUCAACUUGGGAACUGCAUUUGAAACUGGAUAUCUAGAGUGCAGGAGAGGAAAGCGGAAUUCCUAGUGUAGCGGUGAAAUGCGUAGAUAUUAGGAAGAACACCAGUGGCGAAGGCGGCUUUCUGGACUGUAACUGACACUGAGGCAUGAAAGCGUGGGGAGCAAACAG